UACGUAGGGGGCAAGCGUUGUCCGGAUUUAUUGGGCGUAAAGAGCGUGUAGGCGGCUUUACAGGUCCGUUGUGAAAACUCGAGGCUCAACCUCGAGACGCCGGUGGAAACCGUAAAGCUAGAGUCCGGAAGAGGAGAGUGGAAUUCCUGGUGUAGCGGUGAAAUGCGCAGAUAUCAGGAGGAACACCGGUGGCGAAGGCGGAUCUCUGGGCCGUAACUGACGCUGAGGAGCGAAAGCAUGGGGAGCGAACAGG
rnacentral:rRNA from 1 species